AAAACCCUUGCGUAGAAACCUUGUAUCAGUGCCGCUCCACGCCUUAUCUUUGAUUCGUAGUCCGGUCUCGUAGUUAAGGACGUCGAUCUUCGUUCAUGUACCUCAACAUCUCCCCAUGACCAUCGAUGUCUUUGAACAACAUCGGUUUGUGAAACCCGUAAGCCUUGGCUCGCUCUCGUCGCCGUGGGAGUCUCGCGUCAGUCGUAUAUGGCAGUGGUAGGGUCGAGCGCUCGUCGGGGAAGACUCGAAUGGACUGGGUCGUGGUUGAACGGCGUUGUUUGGCUGUGGAAAGCUUCUGUCGGUUGCUGCCCUCUUCCGUUGACGUCGCCGACGGCCGUUUAAGGUCAUGGCAGGGCCGACCGUGAUAUCUUCAAUCCAUGGGGAAUACUGCAAGUGCACCAUUGUCGCUGACAGUCCUAUUUUAUUUUACCGACAUACCAUUAUAUUCGAAUUAGAAUCAGAAUCUGUUGUCGGGUCCCGUUCGAGAUUGAAAAUAAUUUUAAAUAGUCGUAAUUAUUAUUUCUUAAAUUGGGAUUUCUGAUUUGGGACUUAAAUUCAGACGUUGUAAAUUUUGCAGGAAACUUUGAACAUGGAACUCAGUUACCUCCUCCACCAUUGUUGCCUGCAAAUUUUGAACCGACCCGUAUUAAUUGUGUUGAGCGUGUUACGACUGACGUUGGCUAUUUUUAUCGAGGUUAGUGGUGAAUCGUUGAGGGAGCCUAUCGUAUUUGUCCAUUCCUGACCAGUCGAUUAUCAGAGUGAACGCUUAAGUCCUUGGGUAGCUGUAGGAUGCUUCACAAUGGGGGUGUCGAUAAUAUUUUUCUAAGCAUGAGCACCUUUUGCUUGUUCAAUGGUGGGAUUCAUUUCUUACAUGUGGACCAAUGCAUCUCCUGUCAAAAUUUGACAUGUUUAAAGGGUUUGUAUGAUGAACAGAGUUUUGAUGACACUACCAAGAACUAUAUACAAACUUAUUUGAAUUGUAACUGAGCAUUCUUUGGCAGAUUAUUUUUCCAUUAUCUUCAGUUUACCCUGUGUGCUUCCAUUACCAGUGGCCCUAAAGCUAAGUUGGAUUGCCAACUACAAAGUCUACAAUUGCCAAAGGAGACUGUAACCUAUGGAUCGAGAAAGGAGUUGCAGAUGCUGAAAUUCAAACUUCAGAUUUACUAGAUGUCAACUCUUAAAGGUAGCUUGCAUGAAUCAACUAGAUUAUGUUUUGGAUUCAUUUUCCUUUCUUUUCUAUGAAGUCAGAUCUUGCGUAUAGCGGGUUGACAGGAG